GAACGGUUAGCUCAGUUGGCAGAGCACCGGCACUGAACGCCAGAGGUCGUGGGUUCGAGUCCCGCAUCGUUCA